rnacentral:lncRNA from 1 species
UUUCAGGAGGGAGAAAUCACACCCUGACUAAUGAUCUGGUCAAGAAAGAUAUUACAGAAGAGGUGGAAUUUGACUGAGUGGAUUGAAGGUGCAUUGAAGAAAGUAUAAAAUUUUGAUAGACAUAAAAAGGACAGCUUAAACCUUACUUGGAAGAAGAAAGUAUCCAGUAGGAGAAAGAGAUUAAUAGUGUCAGAAGCAGCAGAAAGUUCAAGAGAAGCAAGGAUGUUUUUUUUUUUUAAGUCACUGAAUUUGAUUAUUAGGAAAUCACUGGUGCUUUUUGAAAGAGUCAUUUCAAUAUUAAUAAUGAGGACAGAAACCAGGUAAGGAGACAAUAGAAACACAGGAUCUAGAAAACUUUUUUAUGAUGUUUAGUUCUGAAAAAGAUAGAUAUAGAAUGAUAACUAAAGAGGAUAGAAUGGUCCAGGGAAAUGGAAUGGUGGGUGCUAUCCUAGAGAGCUAGGUGGCAUAGUGGAUAGAAUCCUGGAAUUGGAGUCCAGACCU